GAUGAACGCUGGCGGCGUGCCUAAUACAUGCAAGUCGAGCGAACGGACGAGAAGCUUGCUUUUCUGAUGUUAGCGGCGGACGGGUGAGUAACACGUGGAUAACCUACCUAUAAGACUGGGAUAACUUCGGGAAACCGGAGCUAAUACCGGAUAAUAUUUUGAACCGCAUGGUUCAAUAGUGAAAGACGGUCUUGCUGUCACUUAUAGAUGGAUCCGCGCUGCAUUAGCUAGUUGGUAAGGUAACGGCUUACCAAGGCAACGAUGCAUAGCCGACCUGAGAGGGUGAUCGGCCACACUGGAACUGAGACACGGUCCAGACUCCUACGGGAGGCAGCAGUAGGGAAUCUUCCGCAAUGGGCGAAAGCUUGACGGAGCAACGCCGCGUGAGUGAUGAAGGUCUUCGGAUCGUAAAACUCUGUUAUUAGGGAAGAACAUAUGUGUAAGUAACUGUGCACAUCUUGACGGUACCUAAUCAGAAAGCCACGGCUAACUACGUG
rnacentral:rRNA from 1 species